GGUCGAUGAUGAGCAGUAAAAGGUCUGAUUACCCGCAAUCCCCUCCCGCCGCGCUCACGGCAGCCCGCGCCGCGCCGCCGGCUCUUCCGAGUCCCGACGUGUCGGCGCGCUCGCCGCGCUGCGCACACGAACGGGAAGCGACACGGUAUCGGGAGCCUGCGUGCAGAUCUCGUCGGCUCCUCGUGCUCGCUUCCAACAGCAACAAAACAUUUGAGUGGAGCGUCAGGCGCGGGAGGGGCGGGGCUACUGAUCUCAAGUUUUCAACCUGAGACC